AUGAAUGUCAGGUUUUAUUCUUCUUCUACACAAUUCAUUUAUUUCUUGCUCACCUAUGAAAUAUGGAUGUGCUCGUUUCCUAUAAUUGGACUUCUUUGGGGUUUUGGAGCGUGGGCCGGACCGUGGACUGGAGCUGGGUCUAAAUGUCAGCGGGCAGGAACCGGGCCGCUCGCUAAUGAGCGUCCACGUCUUCGGACUGUGGGAGGAGUGAGACAACAGGAAACGCAGAGGCGAUCAGGAGCUGAUUAGCAGGACAGAUAUGCUGAGAGAGAGCGUCGCCUGCUUCCUAACGCUCCCGACCGCGGAGGCAGUAAAUCAUAAAUGUGAAAGCUUCACCGAAAGGCUCUUCUGUCUGUUUUUCAGCGCCAUCACCGCUGCAAUGUUUCAUUUAUGAGCCACAGGCCUCCUCCUCCUCCCAAACAAACAAGAGCGAGGAGUCGCGGCCGCACUCGGAGCAGUGCUUUAAAUAUUUCACCAGCCAGAAGGAGCAAAUGGGCUUUGGAUGCGCAAAGGUCAAGGUGAAACGGCAGGAUUCACGCGGGUGCCGUUUUUAGGGCUCUGAUGGGAAAUCAGAAAUCAGCCUCCGAUCGCCAGCGGGUCGAUGCCGCUCUCUCUCCAGCUCCGAGCGCCGCUGGGCGAUCGACCUUGAUCCUCUGCAACGCGUGGCCUCGGCCUCCGGGACGUGCGGAGGCUCCUCUGCACGCGUUGGGCGUGGUGGUUGCUAGGCAACCAGGGCAACGCCCUGACCCUCUGUGUGCAGGUGGAGCUCACUGACAUCCUGCGUUGCUCUCAGGCAUUCCUCUGAUUCCUGAAGGGUGACGCUGUGACGCGUUCAGGGCCCGCGUGGCUGUAGGGCUUCUUCCAAACAACAAACACAGUGUGUGACUGCACCUAGAAACCGACGUCGCUGCGGUUUCAAGGCCAUUUCAACGCGAUGUGGUUCACGAAAGGUCAGGAUCAUUAAAAGUGGACCAAUCAACUGAGGGUGAAGCAGCAACAGCGUCGUCUAAACCACAGUUAAGGAAGUAAAAGGAGCUAGGAAUGAAAAUACUAAUUGUACACUACAAGCAUCCACUUCUUUAUGUACCCCAUGUACUGUAUUAUGGGAUGUGGGGUCACGAGGGACAUGAGGAAGAUCCAGAUGUGAGAAUACCAGACCUCCAAGUUCCAAAUUCCUAUCUCAACCAUGCAUGUGUGGACUUUUUAGCACAGAGAAGCUAAAGGUCAGACUACCCAGUGUGUAAUGACGCCGGAGCGUAGCCUGAUGAUGUGCGCUUGGUGUUUGAUAGCAAACGCCAACUUCAGACAUGAUACUUGGCCAUUGCAUAACCUCAACUCAACUUUCACGCGGCAGCAGAAUUUGAAAUAGCUCACAUUAGACAUGCAGCCGAGCUGUAAAAUUUCACUCUUUCAAAGCCCCGGAGUGUGUGUGUGUGUGUGUGUGUGUGUGUGUGUGUGUGUGUGUGUGUGUGUGUGUGUGUGUGUGCGCGCGCGCACGCACGCGUUUCUCAUUACAGGAUCAACUCUUUCAUCCCGGGGUUCAAAGCGCCGCCCCGGCCGACGGCGGUGGGCGAGCAGAUAUGUGAUGGAGUGAGAGGAGGAGGCGGAGGGGAGCAGGGGAUCAUGGGAGAACGGGGUGGAUGAGGAGGAAGGCAGAGAAAGGUGGAACUGCUGCUUUUAAAUGUGAGACGCUUGUUGGUCCAGUCUCCUGUGGGUGUUUGCCUCCACGCUCCACUCUAACUUGCAGCUUGGUCAGAUCUUGUUCCACGGGGCCAGAGAUAUUUUCUUUUUUUUUUAUUAUCCUACAGUCCCUGUCAUAGGAAAUCAAUAGAGCUUCAUUCUGCUGCCGUGGCUUUCGGUGGGGGAACGAGUGCCUCUGCGCACAGCUGCUGGUGGAGCCUUUACAUCAACCGUAUGGAGACGAGAGGCGGCUCCCGACCGGGGAACAGGUGCGUGGACAGCAUGUGACCACCUGCGUCUCCCCGUCGUCGCCCAGCAGCGAGGGUGGGGAGGUGUCACCUUCCAGCUUUCCAUCCUCUGACCUUUGACCUCCUGAGGCGACUCACUUGGCCUUAGCCCUGGCUGUCUGUCAAGACCUUUAACCUACAUAUAUAAAAAAAAACACCUAGAACUGAAGGUGAACGUCAAUAUGAUUCUAACUUCAUGGAACUACUAGUGACUUGUAUCAGACUUAUUUGCAAUGCAUUCUGGGUGGUGGCACCACACUGAUCUUGGUCUUAUUGUGAGACAGGAAUGUCGUCUGUUCGGCCUUUUUGCGUGACAGAGCCUUACAUUGUGCGCGAUAACAUUGGAAAGUGAAAGCGCCGGGUGUGAAACCUGUUGUCACGAGGACCAUCACUACAAAUGGACUGUUUUCCCAUGGCUGCUUCUCAUUUCCUCGUAGCAGGGGUGCUCCUCUAUUUUGACAGGUUGCGCUCCCUGCCAGGACCUGAUCAACCUGCUGGGUUUCUGAGCAGGAAGUGUUUGACUUAGUGCAUUCGCUGCGGUCCUUCUGGGGAAUCAGCGCAGCUGCGUCGCUGCGAGGAGGAAAGCGCGGACACGUUGAACACGUGAACAUUUCUCAUGUGCAGGUAUUCGCACUGAUGUGUGUUGCAGCAUGAAACUAUGAUUUUGCUGGUCUUCAUAAAUAAUCGAUUACACGGUUGCUCCUCAUUAUUGUUGAUGAGACACUGUCUAAAUAAGAGCCCGUCAAACAGAACGAAAUCUCAGCAACCUUGGACGAUAUAAAAAGCGCCUCCGCUUCUGAUUUGACGGCUUAACGGCAAAGAGCCUGGGAAGAAAAAACAAAAACGGGCCGAGACUCCGCCGAAUCCGUCUGCCGCUGUUAUUUAAUGCAGGAGGUAUUCUGGGCUGCGGGAUGAAUAAAACAUCAGAGCACCUUGUUUUUUUUUCCA
rnacentral:lncRNA from 1 species